UUCCGGUUGAUCCUGCCGGACCUGACUGCUAUCGGAUUGAUACUAAGCCAUGCGAGUCAUUGUAGCAAUACAAGGCAUACGGCUCAGUAACGCGUAGUCAACCUACCCUAUGGACGGAAAUAACCUCGGGAAACUGAGAAUAAUAUCCGAUAGAACAUUAUGCCUGGAAUGGUUUAUGUUCCAAAUGAUUUAUCGCCGUAGGAUGGGACUGCGGCCUAUCAGUUUGUUGGUGAGGUAAUGGCCCACCAAGACUAUUACAGGUACGGGCUCUGAGAGGAGUAGCCCGGAGAUGGGUACUGAGACACGGACCCAGGCCCUAUGGGGCGCAGCAGGCGAGAAAACUUUGCAAUGUGCGAAAGCACGACAAGGUUAAUCCGAGUGAUUUCUGCUAAAGAAAUCUUUUGUUAGUCCUAGAAACACUAACGAAUAAGGGGUGGGCAAGUUCUGGUGUCAGCCGCCGCGGUAAAACCAGCACCUCAAGUGGUCAGGAUGAUUAUUGGGCCUAAAGCAUCCGUAGCCGGCUCUGUAAGUCCUCGGUUAAAUCUGUACGCUUAACGUACAGGCUGCCGGGAAUACUGCAUAGCUAGGGAGUGGGAGAGGUAGACGGUACUCAGUAGGAAGGGGUAAAAUCCUUUGAUCUAUUGAUGACCACCUGUGGCGAAGGCGGUCUACCAGAACACGUCCGACGGUGAGGGAUGAAAGCUGGGGGAGCAAACCGGAUUAGAUACCCGGGUAGUCCCAGCUGUAAACUAUGCAAACUCAGUGAUGCAUUGGCUUGUGGCCAAUGCAGUGCUGCAGGGAAGCCGUUAAGUUUGCCGCCUGGGAAGUACGUACGCAAGUAUGAAACUUAAAGGAAUUGGCGGGGGAGCACCACAA
rnacentral:rRNA from 2 species